AAUGAACGUUGGCGGCGUGGAUUAGGCAUGCAAGUCGAGCGAGAAGCUUCCUUCGGGAAGUGGACAGCGGCAAACGGCGUAGUAAUACGUCGGAACGUAACCCCCCGGUCUGGGAUAGCUGCGGGAAACUGCAGGUAAUACUGGAUAACAUCUCCGGAUCAAAGGUGAGAUUCCGCCGGGGGAGCGGCCGAUGCGGUACUAGCUUGUUGGUGAGGUAACGGCUCACCAAGGCGACGAUGCCUAGGGGGUGUGAGAGCAUGGCCCCACGACUGGGACUGAGACACUGCCCAGACACCUACGGGUGGCUGCAGUCGAGAAUCUUCGGCAAUGGGCGAAAGCCUGACCGAGCGACGCCGCGUGCGGGAUGAAGGCCCUUGGGUUGUAAACCGCUGUCAGAGGGGAUGAAAUGCGGGAAGGCUAUCCUUCCCGUUUGACAAAGCCUCAGAGGAAGCCCGGGCUAAGUACGUG
rnacentral:rRNA from 1 species